UCUUUCUAACUCAAUUCCCCGCGUGGUGUAUUUCUACAGAGUCAGUGGUGGAGAGCAUGAGCAGCCGCCAGGAUGAGGAGGCUGCAGAAUCUUGCUUUGGAAACCUAGGAUCUUGCUUCAGGAGUCUGAGGGCAAUUUUGUUCUUUACCACCUUGGCUGGAAUAAUCCCAUGGUGGCCACACAACAGGGUGCACCCUGCCAAUGAGCCAGAUGAAGCAACCCUCGAUGAUGUUGUGGAGGCCGGCGGGAGUGAGAAGACGGAGGAAGAGGCCCUGGCUGGGGCAAAUGAGGAGGAGGUGGGGCCGGGAACUGAGAAGGUGCAGGAGGAGGCUGCCUGCAUUGACGAGGCAGAGGAGGAGGCAGGCCCAUCCCUUGAAAAUGACGAGGAGUCCCCAGCCAGCGACCUGGUUGAGCAGGAAGACCAGCUUGCCCCCAAGGUGGACGGGAUGGACGAUGAAAGCCUAUGUUUCAUGGAGAGUCUGAGUGACAGCAACCAUGAUGAAAGUGAUACAGACUCAGUGGUGGAGAGCCUGAGCAGCCGCCAGGAUGAGGAGGCUGCAGCAACCCUCGAUGAUGUUGUGGAGGCCGGCGGGAGUGAGAAGACGGAGGAAGAGGCCCUGGCUGGGGCAAAUGAGGAGGAGGUGGGGCCGGGAACUGAGAAGGUGCAGGAGGAGGCUGCCUGCAUUGACGAGGCAGAGGAGGAGGCAGGCCCAUCCCUUGAAAAUGACGAGGAGUCCCCAGCCAGCGACCUGGUUGAGCAGGAAGACCAGCUUGCCCCCAAGGUGGACGGGAUGGACGAUGAAAGCCCAGUGGGAUUGCAGGGUCCUGCCGUGGUGUUUCCCGUCCUGGCUGGCCCCGUUGACAUUCCCUGCUACAGUGUCCAGAAGUCCCAGGCAGUCACAUCUUCCCAAACAUCUGUUCAGUAUGUUUCAUGGAGAGUCUGAGUGACAGCAACCAUGAUGAAAGUGAUACAGACUCAGUGGUGGAGAGCCUGAGCAGCCGCCAGGAUGAGGAGGCUGCAGACUCCUCUGGGACACCUUGAAGCCUCAGCCUGGGACUGGAAGAGUCCAAAAGUUUCCAUCUUGACCAGGAUACAAGAUUGACCUCACUCUUCAUCUAUUACGAGCCAACUUUAGUAUAAGCUUAGUUCUUUAUUGUCUAGAUUUAGUAUUAAGUUCUGAUACAUGUUUACUACUUGGUAUAUAAGAUUUUGGUAGAAUGUAAGAUUGUGUAUUAAAUAAUUGUUACCUAUCCAUUUGCUUUUUUUAAAACUAGUUUUCGAUAAAAUAAACACAGGUAUAGGAAAGCCCCCUUAAGCAGAGGUAGAACUUAAUGCACUGGAGUCAGGCAGUCACCCUAGUGUCCACCCCCUGUCCUGUCACCCGCAUCAGUCCUGACUGAAGAAGGGGACUGUGGAUUUAGUCCUGACCAACUGCCCUCAAGCCAGUUUCUUUCCAAGGAUUCUGUGGCCUCAUGUCGGUUUGUACCUUUGACCAUGGGAACUCUGUCACGCUCCCUCUUUCAGGAUGACAUGGUUGGCCGAGCCUUGCAUGCCCAGACCCUGGCUGCUGGAACAUCCAUAUCUCACCUUUUCCCUCCUCAUGUCUCUGACAUGUUUCUUUAUAUCCCAUGCCUGGAGUUGGUAUUUUUAAAACAUGUAGAGUGACACCGAAUGAGACACAGAUAAAAACUGUAAAAGUAAUUUUAAUAAAGUACACUUUGAUUGCAAA